AGAGCUGCUUUGAUCUUGUGUGUACAUUAGAUGACUGCCAGGGGCAUGAAGGGGAUGUGCUUCCAGGGCAUUUGCUGGCAGGGCGUCUCGUGAUCUCUUGGUAUUGGUGUGAGCACAGCCUGGCAGGAGAGGGCAGAUCUCCAUGCAAAGUAUGUCAGAAAGCAGAUGGAAGCCAGGCCCCCUCCUGAAAGAGGCUCCUUGAAGAUAAUUCUAACAUCUUUGUCAUCAGUGUUGACAUCUCUUGAUUGUAUCCUGUCAUUCCAUUUGAGAUCUUCCUGGUUCUGGCUGGCAUCCUCUGACAUCACUCCAGCAGAAGAAAGGGAAGGAACACGCUGCAUUACUGCGUGGGUUCGAUAUUUUUCAGCACUAUCCUUAACCCUGAUUAAAAACAACACAACCCUUCAUGUUGAUUUAAAACA
rnacentral:lncRNA from 10 species